GUGUGAGGACUGGAGUUCCCCGGGCCGCGUCGGCUCCUCCUCGGCCCGGCGGGCCCCGGCAACACGCCUCGGGUCUGUCACGACGCCUGAGGAAAAUCCUCCGUGACAGGAAUGGGGAGGCUGGUGACACUGGGGAGGGGCCCUUUGGCCACCGCUUCCAUCAGAGUCUAGGCAACUUGACCGGCAUUUCACCCUUCCGCUUUACCUCCCCAAGAGAGCCUGAGAUCUGCCCUUGGUUAGAAAGAAGAGGCUCGUUUCGUCCUAGUUUCUGUGGCACUGGCCACCGAGCAGUUUGCGACUGUUUCAGUUUUUCUGGAGUCUUUAAUCAGCCCAUAUUUUAGUUGGGCUUUGGAGAUCUGCUGACUUGUAAGAAUACCAGGAAAAAGGCUCUCAUUGAAAAUUUAUCCACAUCUACACUCGAAAAAUAUAAAUGGGCAUGGAUUAGAGAUCCACUUUAAUUUGCAUAUAUCAUCAGCAAUUCAUUGUGCAUGGUUGGCAUGACUUGUUAGAUGCUCUCCUUGGCCGUGGUGGAGAACGCGCGUUUAUUUUCUAUUAAAACUUCCUGUUACACCUUG
rnacentral:lncRNA from 1 species